GAUGAACGCUGGCGGCGUGCCUAAUACAUGCAAGUCGAGCGAACAGAUGAGGAGCUUGCUCCUCUGACGUUAGCGGCGGACGGGUGAGUAACACGUGGAUAACCUACCUAUAAGACUGGGAUAACCUCGGGAAACCGGAGCUAAUACCGGAUAAUAUAUUGAACCGCAUGGUUCAAUAGUGAAAGACGGUUUUGCUGUCACUUAUAGAUGGAUCCGCGCCGCAUUAGCUAGUUGGUAAGGUAACGGCUUACCAAGGCAACGAUGCGUAGCCGACCUGAGAGGGUGAUCGGCCACACUGGAACUGAGACACGGUCCAGACUCCUACGGGAGGCAGCAGUAGGGAAUCUUCCGCAAUGGGCGAAAGCCUGACGGAGCAACGCCGCGUGAGUGAUGAAGGUCUUCGGAUCGUAAAACUCUGUUAUUAGGGAGGAACAAAUGUGUAAGUAACUAUGCACGUCUUGACGGUACCUAAUCAGAAAGCCACGGCUAACUACGUG
rnacentral:rRNA from 1 species